CCCUAAUCUGCGAUGAAGAGUACAUUUGUGUUCUCCUGUUUCACAUCGAUCGGCGGAGGCGAUGACGUUCCAGUUCCGUAACGGAGGCGUUGUGAUUUCUUCGACUUUAAUCUCAUUGUCUUUAAUCCCACUAAAUCGAACGCCCACUACGAUCUCUUCGGUUAAGUUGUUCAGUCGGCGAUCUCAUGUAUAAAUAGACGGCACGGAUGGACAAAUUAAACCCGCUUGAGAUCAUAAGUCUGAUUCAGACGGCGCGGAUGGAGAUCUUCAAGGGCCUCAGAGACACAAAGGGGAAGCAGUCAGUGUGUUCUUGAAGAAUAUAUUUUGAACAACUCUACUCCCUCUUUUCUUAUUGUUUUCCAUUAGCUACUAUGAUGAAAACCAUCAUCUGUCCGCUAACACAUUUGUCAACGUUUCUGUGUAUAUAUUUCAGACAUUAUCUAUUUCAAAGGUUCAAUUGAUCCAUAUGAUAUAUAUAUUGUACUACCAUAUGCAUACUGAAAACGACAUAAAGAAAGAGAAACAUCAUGGUUAACUUGAAUAUUGACAGGAGUGUGACAACGUUUAGCGUGAGUGUUAUCCAACUUGAAACUGCGCUUUGUUUUAUCAUGUGUAUGCAUACAUGGUUUGUGAUGCUGUUGGAGUAAAGGAAAGGAACAUUAUGAAAGCAUCUUCAACUGUCACUACUGAAAUUGUCGAUCACAGAUAAGUCUUUUUUAAGGAGAAUACAAAAUCAAUUUUUGUAUUCAGUGAUUCUGAUAUGUUUUUGUAGGUAUGGUACAAAGACAGCAGAGGCGACAACCAGACAAAUGCGGGGUUUGGAGCAGCAGGGCAUGCUCUUAGAACAGCGUGGACAGUUUUCAUGAUCAGACAAGCUCUCCCAAAGAGUCUGUAAUAAAGAGUGUGUUUAAUUGAUGUCUAAAACCGCAGUUAAAACGGCAGCCUAAUAAAAAAAAAGGGAAAGGAGCUUUUUUAAAUCAACCGAGAAAAAGAGUUAUAAGUGGAUGCUGUGUUGUUUGUACAUCAGUUUCAUUGCCUUGGUGCAAAAGCAAUACCCAUUUAAAAAAAUAGGUUUUGGUUAUUGUUGUUGGGGCAUGUGUUUCUUUUAGAAUCAAUAGCUAUAUGCAAACAUAGACACAAUAUUUUUUAUUGGGUAUGCUUAGUCACUGAGAAUGAUAAUUUUUUUGUA